CUGUGUUUCUUUAAAAUUCUCAUGUGGCAGUGUUGCAUUUUGAACAACUGAUCAGGACCAGAACUUUAUUUCUUUGUUUGUUUGUGGUAUUUUUAUUUUGUGUUAUGAAAGACAUCUUUAACAUAGGAGUCCUACAUGAGACUUUAAUUUCUUGGACAUGUAGGAAAGUGUAGAAUUUUUUUUUCAGUGAUUCACAAAACUCAAGUAACAUAUUCUUCAAUUACAGACCACCUCAGAGGACACAGUGCAAUAUGCUUUUCUGCCUUUGUGUAAAUUUUUCUCUCCAACAUCAGAGUUGUCCUGAAUAGAAAAGGCUCACGUGAGCUCCUAAGAUCCAUUUUUUUAAACUAUGGUGAAGAAAAGUCCCCAUGAAAUCUGAAUUUGCCGACCUAGAAUUCUUAAUUUCAUGUGGACUGAGAAAAGGCAGCUAUUUUAAACCGGGAUUGUGUGAGAUUUUAGUGUAGUCUUCCAGCCUGCCUCUAUGGUAAGCUUUUACAG
rnacentral:lncRNA from 1 species